UACGGAGGGGGCUAGCGUUGUUCGGAAUUACUGGGCGUAAAGCGCACGUAGGCGGCUUUGUAAGUUAGAGGUGAAAGCCCCAGGGCUUAACCCUGGAAAUUGCCUUUAAGACUGCAUCGCUAGAAUCGUGGAGAGGUAAGUGGAAUUCCGAGUGUAGAGGUGAAAUUCGUAGAUAUUCGGAAGAACACCAGUGGCGAAGGCGACUUACUGGACACGUAUUGACGCUGAGGUGCGAAAGCGUGGGGAGCAAACAGGAGUUAGAA
rnacentral:rRNA from 1 species